CCAAAAUCGAUUGUUACAACACCUUCUCUUAAUGUUUUGCCUUUAUGACCAGGGGGGAAUAUAGCACUUUGCCUACUACACGACACGCAGACACAACUGUCACCCAAAACCCACAUUUCUUCUGCACUGAGUCAUUGCUGUUUGCGUUCAUUUACAUUAAACUUAAGGCUGUAAAUGGGCAGGGGGGGAAAUAAUUCGAGUUACAUGUUUUGUUUUUAUGUUGGCUGUUGGUGGCUUUGCACGUCUGGCUAACAUGAAAUUCUUAAAGGGGACCCUAAUUGGAGUGAGACUUCACCAUUGAGAUGCUCCUGUCGGAUAUCACACAAUCGGCCACCUGCACAUGACACAAAUUAUGUGUCCGUACAAGACGACUUGUCAACGACUCUUUGGGACAUUUGUGAAAACAGGAGGACAGCCAGCCAAACCGACUCCAGUUUAUCACAGAAGAAAGUGAACACGCUCAGAGUCCCUCAAGGUGCUAACUGAACACAAGUCUUUUCCAGGGCAGCAUCUGGAGACUCCGUAUACAGCAUUUGUGACAUGCUGUUGCCCAUGGCUGCCUUCCAGCAGUGCUUCUUCAGGGAUCCGAGCAUGUAGAACAGUAGCUGGAACAACCGCCCGGAAUCUUCAGCCAUGCACCGCCUGAAACUUUAAUGGUGACACGAGGAACGAGGUGUCCAGAUGUGAACAGGGAAUACCUCCGUGAUACGGACAGCAAUCCCACCUCCUAUGACAAGUUUCAUACCAUCUGCUUCCUUUCCCCUGCUAAUAAGUGUUCCCAGCCAGCUGAGUGCCCAAUCAAAUAUUUAGUGUGGCGGGGCUGCUGUCAGAUCCACAUCAGCGCUUCCAUGUCCAUCUCCAUCUCAUUGAGAUGCUGCACUGAAGUGCUCACAAGAACUUUCAAGGGUGAUUUUCAUAUUGGAAUCCACCAAAGUGACUUAAACCAAAUGGAUACAAAGUUUUCUUGGUUUACAAAUUACAUCCUGAGCUGAUCAUUUCUUUCAAUGUCUAUGAAUUGUUGUA